UUUAUACUCCCUCCGUUCGGAAUUACUUGUCAUAAAAAUGAAUAAAAAUGAUGCAUCUACAAGUAAAAUACAUCUCGAUACAUUCAUUUCUUGGACAAGUAAUUCCGACUGGAGGGAGUACGAG
rfam:Triticum aestivum genome assembly, contig: Triticum_aestivum_CS42_TGACv1_scaffold_030353_1BL